UACGUAGGGACCGAGCGUUUGUCCGGAAUCAUUGGGCGUAAAGCGCGCGUAGGCGGCCCUGUAAGUCCGUUGUGAAAGUCAAAAGGCUCAACCUUUGAAAGCCGAUGGAUACUGCAGGGCUAGAGUCCGGAAGAGGCGAGUGGAAUUCCUGGUGUAGCGGUGGAAUGCGCAGAUAUCAGGAGGAACACCAAUAGCGAAGGCAGCUCGCUGGGACGGUACUGACGCUGAGACGCGAAAAGCGUGGGGGAGCAAACAGG
rnacentral:rRNA from 1 species